CACGUAGGCGGGUUGUUAAGUCGGGGGUGAAAUCCUGGAGCUCAACUCCAGAACUGCCCUCGAUACUGGCGAUCUUGAGUCCGGGAGAGGUGAGUGGAACUGCGAGUGUAGAGGUGAAAUUCGUAGAUAUUCGCAAGAACACCAGUGGCGAAGGCGGCUCACUGGCCCGGUACUGACGCUGAUGUGCGAAAGCGUGGGAGCAAACAGGAUUAGAUACCCUGGUAGUCCACGCUGUAAACGAUGGAUGCUAGCCGUUGGCGAGCUUGCUCGUCAGUGGCGCAGCUAACGCUUUAAGCAUCCCGCCUGGGAGUACGGUCGCAAGAUUAAA
rnacentral:rRNA from 1 species